UUGUAGUCUCAGCACAUUUCAAGUACCAGGUCGUGUUCAUGGUAAGCGUGGGACAAAAGUGCUUGCAAGAGAUGAGUAUCAUGCAAUUCUGAUUUACAUUUACACCAACACUCUGGAGAUGGAUGAUUUUGUGAUGAGAUUUGACAAAGCAGAAUGUAGGAAUUUCCAUCGAGCAACUCAGCAACAAAUUGAUAAAACUCGAAAGUCUGGUGCUGGUAGAGGCCGUCUAAACUUAUUUGAAUGGUUUAGAGAUUUGUGCUUAAAGGAAGGAGGUAUCCACAAGGAUUUGGUUCAAAUAUCUCAUGGUUGCCGUACUCGUGUGUCUUGUUUAACUGGAUAUGAUGUUAAUAACUUUAGGUUUC